rnacentral:rRNA from 1 species
UACGUAGGGUGCAAGCGUUACUCGGAAUUACUGGGCGUAAAGCGUGCGCAGGCGGUUUUGUAAGUCAGAUGUGAAAUCCCCGGGCUUAACCUGGGAACUGCGUUUGAAACUACAAGGCUAGAGUGUGGCAGAGGGGGGUGGAAUUCCACGUGUAGCAGUGAAAUGCGUAGAGAUGUGGAGGAACACCGAUGGCGAAGGCAGCCCCCUGGGUUAACACUGACGCUCAGGCACGAAAGCGUGGGGAGCAAACAGG